AAGGGAACGCUGGUUCACCCAGCAUCCUCCAACCCAAUGUGUACCCGCCUUGUUGCCUCGGCGUGCCUGCGCCGUCAGUGGCGCUGCCGGCUCCGGCUGGAUAGCGCACGCCAGAGGAAUCUUAAACUCCAGCUUUAACGAGUGACGUCUGAGCUUCAAUCAAAUAACAUUA
rnacentral:misc_RNA from 1 species